rnacentral:rRNA from 1 species
ACUCCUACGGGAGGCAGCAGUGGGGAAUAUUGCACAAUGGGGGAAACCCUGAUGCAGCCAUGCCGCGUGUGUGAAGAAGGCCUUCGGGUUGUAAAGCACUUUCAGUAGGGAGGAAGGUAGUGUAGUUAACACCUGCACUAUUUGACGUUACCUACAGAAGAAGCACCGGCUAACUCCGUGCCAGCAGCCGCGGUAAUACGGAGGGUGCGAGCGUUAAUCGGAAUUACUGGGCGUAAAGCGCAUGCAGGCGGCCUGUUAAGUCAGAUGUGAAAGCCCGGGGUCUUAACCUCGGAAUUGCAUUUGAAACUGGCAGGCUAGAGUCUUGUAGAGGGGGUUAGAAUUUCAGGUGUAGCGGUGAAAUGCGUAGAGAUCUGAAGGAAUACCAGUGGCGAAGGCGGCCCCCUGGACAAAGACUGACGCUCAGAUGCGAAAGCGUGGGAGCAAACAGGAUUAGAUACCCCGUGGUAGCGACUGA